GCAUUGGUGGUUCAGUGGUAGAAUUCUCACCUUGCAUACUGGAGACCCGGGUCCGAUUCCCGGCCAAUGCA
rnacentral:tRNA from 1 species